AGGAGGAGGAGGAGGAGGAAGAGGGAAAGUAGCAGUAGUGUGUAGUAGAGUAGGAGGCAUGCCAGUGUUGAGUGAGACACGCGCUCAUUCCCACCCAAUCUCACCACACAGAAACACCAACUCACUCCUCACUCACGUACAGCUCACCACGCGGACUGAACCCUUACGCAGCCUCACUCAGUUUCUCACAGUACACCUUCCUGUUAACGUGAAGUGCAGGAUUACGGAAAACUCAAUUGUUUUUCAAGAGUGUCAGCAGGGGAUACGAGACACUCAAAUUUUAUCAAGGGACGCCGCGUUUGUCUCAUCAUGGUGCCGCGCGUGGUGGUGACGAUGGUGGUGGUGGUCAUGGCGUGGGCGGUCCGGAGUCAAAGACCAUUCAGUGACCACUUUAGACCAUGGGAAGGUGAUUCUAGACCUCCAUUGGGCCACUCAGACGCCCAUUUCAUCCACCAGGAAGGACCGAGGUCAUCUUUUAGCCUGAGAACCUUAUCACCUCACAAGGACAGUCACCCUCCUCCCCGGGCACUGCAUCCUUCAGGGCCUCCCUCAGGACACCCAGGGCCGCUCUCAUUCUCAGGGAUCAAAGAGGAGGAUAUUUUCAGACCAAGACCAAGACCAAGACCACCUCGUCCUCCACCAUCUCGACACAAACACCACCACAGCAAUACCCCACCACGCAAGCCCUUGCACCACAGCCCUCCACCACCACAUAAACCACACCACAGCCUCCCACCACCACAUAAACCACACCACAGCGCUCCGUCACCACAUAAAGCCGACCACAGUCCUCCACUACCACACAAACCACACCAAAGCCCUCCAUCGCCACACAAACCCCACCACAGCCCUCCACAGCACGAGCCUCCACACCACAGUUCACCACCACAGAAGUCCCACCACAGCUUUCCACCGCACAAGCCUCCCCACCAAAGUCCACCGCACCACAGCGAGCCUCCCCACCACAGUAGUCCACCACAGCCUCCGCACCGCAAGUCACAGGGAGCUGUUUUCACUACCACAGUCCACGAGCAUAAGAAUGAAGGUCCCGGAGGCUGCCAGACCAAGGAGGGCUUUUACUUCGCAGGACAGACGUGGUUUGUGAAGGGGUGCCGCCGCCGCAAGUGUAUCCAUUUCAGGGGAAAGUUCUUCACCGAGACGGAUUCGUGUGACUCUGAGAUCUUCAACACCACCUACAGAUGCGUCAUUCAGGUGGACACGACAGCAGACUUCCCUCGCUGCUGUCCAACCUACAAAUGCAACCCCGACAAUCUAGGAAACUCAGUGUAGCCUACAGUUCCUCCCCCCCACCCACCAAACACCCACAGGAAACAGAGAGGAGGGAAAACAUGAACUUAAGAGGACCCAUGAAGAAGCGAGUAAUCAUCUUAGUGGUGAGAGAAUCAAGCGUUUCAAGACACAAUGGAGUCUUCCUUUCUAGUAUUUUAGUUUAGUUAUUCAUGUAUUUAUUUGUACAUUACAUGAAGAUGUAAUGUUGACUGUAUCCAGUGAUUACAUGUAUUCCACCCCUUGAAACAUUCACUCAAUCUCGUCUUGCUCCCAUUUACUUGCAUAUUUUGAGUCUAGUCUACCCUUAAAGGUUCUCUGAUUUCCGUUUUCCUUGGUAAUAAUUUCUCUGUUACAAUAGAAGUCAACAAAGGCUUUAUAAAUUUCUAUUAAUCACACUCAUAAGAAUACAUGUGAUUCUAUGCAGGAUUGUAAAAUACUACUAAAUACGUAUGUAGGCAUAUUGGAUAUAAGAAAAAAAUGUGAACAGUUUUAUUACUAGUAGGCCGAUUAAAGAAUUGUAAUAAUGGAGGAAAAGAAAUUAAGUUAAAUAUUUACCAACGCCAUUAUCAAGAUGUAUGAAUAAUGCAAUAGGUAGGUCUGUUUUAAUCAAGAAUAUACAUGUAUACUGCAGUGCGUGAGUGAAGUGAAGGAACUGCCAUAUCAUAGUGCUGGGAAAUUAACUAGUUUUUAUCUAUGUAACUCUACGUUGAGCAGCUUUCUAUCUAUCUACUCUUUGGUUUUAUUUGUUACGCCACGGUGUGUGUGUGUGUGUGUGUGUGUGUGUGUGUGUGUGUGUAAGAAUCAUAGAUAGCUUAUUUAUAACCCAGUAGUAGCAGCAGAGUUGUUAUUUAUUUAUAGUGAAUCGUUUCCGCCUAUUCCUUGCAUCCUUGUUAACAAUGAAUAACAUUUAGCCAAGCA
rnacentral:misc_RNA from 1 species